rnacentral:lncRNA from 1 species
UUAUGUAAUAUCCUAUGUACACUGUUCUACGUGUUCCCUUAUCCAUGUAUACGUUCUCAUCUACGUAUCUCUUAUACGUAUCCGCACAGAUACGCAUACACGCUCGUGUAUAUUCUCUCUAUCUCUGUAUAUACGUGUGUAGCUCUCGCACAUCAGUACAGCCGAGUACUUUCCGUCUAGUACAGCACAUGCGACGCCCGUUACGGCCGCGCACACUCUUCUCUUGCGCACUCGAACUCGUGUAGGGAGAAUUGCGCCGCGACCUAGUUGUCUAGGCCACUGUGUCUGCGUUUCUAUAUGCAGGCUAUGUUUUGUAUGAAACUCUCAUCGUCGUAGUCGUAGUAGUGGUAGUAGUCAUCGUCAUCGUCAUCGUCAUUGCUUGCUCGCACUACAUGCAUGCAUGCUUGUUUGUUUAUUUGCUUGCUUGCUUGCUUGCUUUCUCGUUCCUUCUAUUUUCGUUGAAAUCAUCGACUUAUUUUGGAACCUGAAUCACGAGGAUUCUAAUUAGAUAAUGAAUAAUUAAUCGAUCGUUCAUGUAAUGUCUGGUUUUUCUUGUUGUAAAAAAAAAAAGGUCGAAAUAAAAUCGUUUCGUAAUAACGCAAAAGCAAAAAGAAAAAAGAAAAGAAAAAAGGAAAAAAAGAAAAAAAGAAAAAGAAAGAAGUAAACUAACGAAGCUCAAGCGGAUGCACGUUUCUUGCGUCAGGGAAAAUCGUCGUGAGGAAAGAAGCCGGAGCGCAGCGGCUUCUAUUAACUGCGCCGCCGACAACGACGCAGUUUCUCGAUGAAAUAGAAAGCGAUCGAUCGUGAGACUCGAAGCUAUUACUAGCGAGCUCGGUCCACUCCGCGACUCUAAAUAGGUCGGCACGAGGUAUCACGAGAUCUUCGAACGAAUGUUAGAGCUACGUGAUCGUCCUGUGCUCGAACGCGCAAACAUUUGCGGUAUACUUCAGAGGCAAGGAUGCUGUACCGAGGAAGGCGACAUUCCUUGCUUUAAGGUGGAAAGGUAGAUGCAUAAGUGACGUCAGAGCGGGAUGGUAAAAGCGGACAUAGGGGAAAGAGUGGGAGGAGAAAAAUAAGAAAGAAAAUAACUAGACCUAGAAGUAACAGCAGCAGCAGCAAUCGACCAAUCGUGAGCGUUAAGAGUCCCGAAUAUAGUCAAA